rnacentral:rRNA from 1 species
UACAUGCAAGUCGAACGAGAUCUUCGGAUCUAGUGGCGCACGGGUGCGUAACGCGUGGGAAUCUACCCUUGGGUUCGGAAUAACGUCGGGAAACUGACGCUAAUACCGGAUGAUGACGAAAGUNCAAAGAUUUAUCGCCCAGGGAUGAGCCCGCGUAGGAUUAGCUAGUUGGUGAGGUAAAGGCUCACCAAGGCUNCGAUCCUUAGCUGGUCUGAGAGGAUGAUCAGCCACACUGGGACUGAGACACGGCCCAGACUCCUACGGGAGGCAGCAGUAGGGAAUAUUGGACAAUGGGGGCAACCCUGAUCCAGCAAUGCCGCGUGAGUGAUGAAGGCCUUAGGGUUGUAAAGCUCUUUUACCCGAGAUGAUAAUGACAGUAUCGGGAGAAUAA